rfam:Danio rerio chromosome 4, GRCz11 reference primary assembly.
GCAUUGGUGGUUCAGUGGUAGAAUUCUCGCCUACUACGCGGAAGACCUGGGUCUGAUUCCCGGCCAAUGCA